rnacentral:rRNA from 2 species
UUGACCUCGGAUCAGGUGAGGAUACCCGCU